AAGGAUUUCUUCGGAAUGAAUUUGAUUAAGUUUAGUGGCGGACGGGUGAGUAACGCGUGAGUAACCUGCCUCUAAGAGGGGAAUAACAUUCUGAAAAGAAUGCUAAUACCGCAUAACAUAUAUUUAUCGCAUGGUAGAUAUAUCAAAGAUUUAUCGCUUAGAGAUGGACUCGCGUCCGAUUAGUUAGUUGGUGAGGUAACGGCUCACCAAGACCGCGAUCGGUAGCCGGACUGAGAGGUUGAACGGCCACAUUGGGACUGAGACACGGCCCAGACUCCUACGGGAGGCAGCAGUGGGGGAUAUUGCGCAAUGGGGGAAACCCUGACGCAGCAACGCCGCGUGAAGGAUGAAGGUCUUCGGAUUGUAAACUUCUUUUAUUAAGGACGAAGAAAGUGACGGUACUUAAUGAAUAAGCUCCGGCUAACUACGUGCCAGCAGCCGCGGUAAUACGUAGGGAGCAAGCGUUGUCCGGAUUUACUGGGUGUAAAGGGUGCGUAGGCGGCUUU
rnacentral:rRNA from 1 species